CGACUCUCGACAACGGAUAUCCUGGCUCUUGCAUCGAUGAAGAACGUAGCGAAAUGCGAUACUUGGUGUGAAUUGCAGAAUCCCGUGAACCAUCGAGUCUUUGAACGCAAGUUGUGCCCGAAGCCACUAGGUCAAGGGCACGUCUGCCUGGGUGUCACGC
rnacentral:rRNA from 1 species